rnacentral:rRNA from 1 species
UACGUAGGUGGCAAGCGUUGUCCGGAAUUAUUGGGCGUAAAGCGCGCGCAGGUGGUUCCUUAAGUCUGAUGUGAAAGCCCCCGGCUCAACCGGGGAGGGUCAUUGGAAACUGGGGAACUUGAGUGCAGAAGAGGAUAGUGGAAUUCCAAGUGUAGCGGUGAAAUGCGUAGAGAUUUGGAGGAACACCAGUGGCGAAAGCGGCUCUCUGGACUGUAACUGACACUGAGGCUCGAAAGCGUGGGUAGCAAACAGG